rnacentral:rRNA from 1 species
GUGUCAGCCGCCGCGGUAAUACGUAGGUGGCAAGCGUUGUCCGGAUUUAUUGGGCGUAAAGCGAGCGCAGGCGGUUUCUUAAGUCUGAUGUGAAAGCCCCCGGCUCAACCGGGGAGGGUCAUUGGAAACUGGGAGACUUGAGUGCAGAAGAGGAGAGUGGAGUUCCAUGUGUAGUGGUGAAAUGCGUAGAUAUAUGGAGGAACACCAGUGGCGAAGGCGACUCUCUGGUCUGUAACUGACGCUGAGGAGCGAAAGCGUGGGGAGCGAACAGGAUUAGAAACCCUUGUAGUCC